ensembl:snRNA U6 U6 spliceosomal RNA
GUGCUCGCUUUGAUAGCAUAUAUACUAAAAUUGGAAUGAUACAGAUUAACAUGGCUCCUCUGCAAAGGUAACAUGCAAAUUUGUGAAGCACUCCAUAUUUUU